rnacentral:rRNA from 1 species
UACGUAGGCAGCAAGCGUUGUUCGGAAUUACUGGGCGUAAAGAGUGUGUAGGCGGUGCUCUAAGUUUGGUGUGAAAUCUCCCGGCUCAACUGGGAGGGUGCAUCGAAAACUGGAGUGCUCGAGGGUGGGAGAGGUAAGCGGAAUUCCUGGUGUAGCGGUGAAAUGCGUAGAUAUCAGGAGGAACACCUGUGGUGUAGACAGCUUACUGGACCAUUUCUGACGCUGAGACACGAAAGCGUGGGUAGCAAACAGG